CCCAGCCCACAGUUGCCAGCGUACUCUCUGGAGUGACGGGUACACGUGUGGGGACCGCCGCUGCUAAAGCGGAGGAAGGAAUGGGCAACGGUAGGUCAGUAUGCCCCGAAUAUCCCGGGCUACACGCGAGCUACAAUGGUUGGUACAAUGGGUAUCUACCCCCGAAAGGGGACGGGAAUCUCCUAAAACCAAUCUUAGUUCGGAUUGAGGGCUGCAACUCGCCCUCAUGAAGCUGGAAUCCGUAGUAAUCGCGUUUCAACAGAACGCGGUGAAUACGUCCCUGCUCCUU
rnacentral:rRNA from 1 species